rnacentral:misc_RNA from 1 species
AGCAUGAAAACUUGAUACUUUCUCUCCGCCAUUGAGGUUAAAGAAAACCAUCACACUAGAGGAAGACACCAUGGUUUUCGGUAUGACUCGGUUCACAAUCUUGUUAUCCAUAUACUUGCUACUUCAGUGCACUACCGGAAGUGCAAAGACAAUAUUUGUCCUGGGCGGAAACGGACUAUUAGGUUCCGCUUUUAUGGAACGCGUUAUUGAAAAGAGAGACAACCUGGUGGUCGUCAAUCGAGGCAAUUGGUAUUGGGACACGUCCGAGUUAAUUCUUCCGUUUGUGACGCCUAUACAAUGCAAUCGUCGCAACUCCUUGGGCAAGUGUCCAGAUUUGGCAUUCCUGCUUUCUGGGGAAGGAAAAGAUAUUGUUUUUGACGCCGUUGUCGAUUUCAGUUCGUUUGCAGGAGAAAAUGUUGCAGAUAUUUUGGAUGUUCUCAAUGAGAGAAUCAAACGUUAUAUUUUCAUCAGUUCCGAUUCAACUUACGAGGUUUGUAUGAAGAACCAUACUAAACCGACUGUGGAGUCAGAUUCUGUUCGUCCGGUACCGGAAACGGAAAGGAUUAUAUACAGUAAAAAAGAUACAUACGGACACCGGAAGCUAGAAGGCGAGGAAGUUUUAGAGGCACAGAAGGACGGAGGGGUGCCGUUUGUUGCUAUGCGUCUACCGGAUGUUAUCGGACCACGUGACAAUAUAUACCGAUGGUGGAUGUACCAGCUUUGGAUAAAACUUUCCGACUACCUUGAUCGCCCCGUGUCGGUACCAGCUGAAUUGACUGAUCGACCUUUAAGCUUUGUUUAUUCCUACGACGUAGCAGACAUGAUUGUCAAGCUUUUGGAUGCUGAUCUUGAUGUCUUCAACCAGGCUUACAAUUUUGCAUUCGAAGAAAACCCGACGUUGACUGAACUGCUGAAAGCUAUGGCAGUCUUAUUAGACCGUCCAGAUAUUCAGAUUGAUGUGAACAAAAACGCAGAUAUGACGUAUCUGUGGCCAUCGGCACCGUCCCAACAACAAUAUGAUGUACCAGAGUUAUCUGCUCUUGAUGAGAACUGGUCAUCUUCAAUAUACAUGUUUCCCUCUGUAUCAUUGGGCGCUAUCGACACGUCCAAAGCCAAACUGGUUCUUGGCUGGAAGCCAACACUGUUCCAAGAGGCUGUGAGGAAAUCCAUCAUGUUUUUCGAGGAGGCGAUGAUCGUUGACAAGUUUGAGGAGGAAAGGAGCGAGAUAAAGCGAGCCCUUCUUCUACACUUCAGUAAAGAUCAUGCGCGAACAUUGGCAGGCCUAGAUAUCGUGUACCCGAAAUCUCGUAACGUUCACCAGGAACUCUAGUUCCAACGGUGAUCGAAAAUUUAGUGUGUGUGGUGGAAAUUUCUGGAUAAAUGAGAUAUUGUCGGAGUAAAUGUUGAAUUUUGAUAUAUGUUGUUGAAGGAGAGAAGAAAAUUGAAGAAAAUGAAGAAAAUAAGAUGGAUCUAUGUUGUGUGUAAAGUGUUAAAAAUCUACAGCCUAAGAGAGCUCGGAUAAUCUCAGCCGAGGGUAAAGAUUCUAUUACAUAAUCCAAACUGAGAUGUCAGUUAUAUUUUCAGUAAGAAUUUUUUUGUAUGAGCCAUUUCGUUUCUGAUGACCUCUUGUUGACGAAAAACUGCCAGCUAGCAAAGCUCGUUUUUGUCUGAUAAAAGUUUUUAAAUUGAGCGAUAUUCUGUAUGAAUAUAGGCGUUGAUUAGGUAGGUUUUGCUGUACACUUUCAUUCUUGCACGCUUUAUAAAUGUAUAGUUUCUAUGUUAUUUUGAAAAUCAAUAGGGUGUUUUUCAUACCCUCAUUCAAAUUACAGUUUUAACGACGAAUUGAUUUUGUGUAUCAAAAUUCAGUCAUUUGUUGGACUUUUCAAUUCGGAAUUUAUGAUGAUUGUAAUGACUGUUAGAUAAUUAUAUAAUUAUCGAGUGUUUUGUCAUCGGAUACUUUGGCCUGCCGAAUUGACUAUUGAAGAUCUAGAGCUUCGCUCUAAGUAGAUCCUGCAAUUUUAUAGCAAAAUAAACAAAGCACGACAAGACACAAAGGUAUCGAUGUCCUCUAUAAGAAUAAACAACAAUAAUCAAAAUAAAAGAGUGUUGGUAACGAAUGAAGAGAGAGAGACGACGGACAGACGGACGGACGGACACCAACAGAGAUAAUCAAUACAAAUAUGAAAAACAAAUGUUUCAUUUCAGCUGUAGGAAUUUUCUUCUCAAAGGAAUGUUGAAACAGGUGAUGUCGACCUAAUAACAAUGACUUUAUGUCAGUAUCUGACUUGCUAGAGACAACUGCGAUAAGACUGUGUAUAUUAUCAGCAAAAUGUACAGGACUUGACACGUUUGUAACCUUAAACAACCUCACUAUGAUAGCCUUUCUUUUGCUAGUCGCCAUUGGAUAUGUAAAUGCAGCUCAAGGCGACUGUAAACAUGGAUGGAAGAGUUUCGGUGAUUCCUGCUACCUGUUCGCACACACAAAAUUGUCUAUGUUAUUUUGAAAAUCAAUAGGGUGUUUUUCAUACCCUCAUUCAAAUUACAGUUUUUAACGACGAAUUGAUUUUGUGUAUCAAAAUUCAGUCAUUUGUUGGACUUUUCAAUUCGGGAUUUAUGAUGAUUGUAAUGACUGUUAGAUAAUUAUAUAAUUAUCGAGUGUUUUGUCAUCGGAUACUUUGGCCUGCCGAAUUGACUAUUGAAGAUCUAGAGCUUCGCUCUAAGUAGAUCCUGCAAUUUUAUGGCAAAAUAAACAAAGCACGACAAGACACAAAGGUAUCGAUGUCCUCUAUUAGAAUAAACAACAAUAAUCAAAAUAAAAGAGUGUUGGUAACGAAUGAAGAGAGAGACGACGGACAGACGGACGGACGGACGGACGGACACCAACAGAGAUAAUCAAUACAAAUAUGAAAAACAAAUGUUUCAUUUCAGCUGUAGGAAUUUUCUUCUCAAAGGAAUGUUGAAACAGGUGAUGUCGACCUAAUAACAAUGACUUUAUGUCAGUAUCUGACUUGCUAGAGACAACUGCGAUAAGACUGUGUAUAUUAUCAGCAAAAUGUACAGGACUUGACACGUUUGUAACCUUAAACAACCUCACUAUGAUAGCCUUUCUUUUGCUAGUCGCCAUUGGAUAUGUAAAUGCAGCUCAAGGCGACUGUAAACAUGGAUGGGAGAGUUUCGGUGAUUCCUGCUACCUGUUCGCACACACAAAAUUGUCCUGGGCAGAA